UGGGGAAUAUUGCACAAUGGGGGAAACCCUGAUGCAGCAACGCCGCGUGAGUGAUGACGGCCUUCGGGUUGUAAAGCUCUGUCUUCAGGGACGAUAAUGACGGUACCUGAGGAGGAAGCCACGGCUAACUACGUGCCAGCAGCCGCGGUAAUACGGAGGAUGCAAGCGUUAUCCGGAAUUACUGGGGGUAAAGGGCGUGUAGGCGGGGCUUUAAGUAAGAGGUGAAAUUACCGGGCUCAACCUGGGCGC
rnacentral:rRNA from 1 species